AGAGCGAACGCUGGCGGCAGGCCUAACACAUGCAAGUCGAGCGGUCGUAGCAAUACGGAGUGGCAGACGGGUGAGUAACGCGUGGGAACAUACCCUUCGGUUCGGAAUAACUCAGGGAAACUUGAGCUAAUACCGGAUACGUCCGAGGUUUUAAUCGACCUUGGAGAAAGAUUUAUCGCCGGAGGAUUGGCCCGCGUCUGAUUAGCUUGUUGGUGAGGUAAUGGCUCACCAAGGCGACGAUCAGUAGCUGGUCUGAGAGGAUGAUCAGCCACAUUGGGACUGAGACACGGCCCAAACUCCUACGGGAGGCAGCAGUGGGGAAUAUUGGACAAUGGGCGAAAGCCUGAUCCAGCCAUGCCGCGUGAGUGAUGAAGGCCUUAGGGUGUAAAGCUCUUUUACCCGGGAAGAUAAUGACGGUACCGGGAGAAUAAGCCCGGCUAACUUCGUGCCAGCAGCCGC
rnacentral:rRNA from 1 species